rnacentral:rRNA from 1 species
UGGGGAAUUUUGGACAAUGGGCGAAAGCCUGAUCCAGCAAUGCCGCGUGUGUGAAGAAGGCCUUCGGGUUGUAAAGCACUUUUGUCCGGAAAGAAAUGGCUCUGGUUAAUACCUGGGGUCGAUGACGGUACUGGAAGAAUAAGGACCGGCUAACUACGUGCCAGCAGCCGCGGUAAUACGUAGGGUCCAAGCGUUAAUCGGAAUUACUGGGCGUAAAGCGUGCGCAGGCGGUUGUGCAAGACCGAUGUGAAAUCCCCGAGCUUAACUUGGGAAUUGCAUUGGUGACUGCACGGCUAGAGUGUGUCAGAGGGGGGUAGAAUUCCACGUGUAGCAGUGAAAUGCGUAGAGAUGUGGAGGAAUACCGAUGGCGAAGGCAGCCCCCUGGGAUAACACUGACGCUCAUGCACGAAAGCGUGGGGAGCAAACAUG